UCAUCACAAAGAGACCAGUUUAUUUCACUUCUGGGCACAGGGGAAAAUUCUUCCCCUAGCUUUGCAAAUUCCCUAUGCUUAUUAGUGUCUCACUGUAGCUACCUGGAUCUCAAGCUGAAAAAGGGGAGGCCUCUAACCUCCAAGAGAAAUCUCCAGAGGAAACCCAUCAAUACCCAGCCCAUGUACUUCAUCUCAGAUGACCUACAGAAUGGAACAGAUCUCCUGUUUUCUAUACCUGCAGUGAUUUGACUUGGGGAAGGAGGUAGAGUAUUAACACCUCAGCUGAACCCACCAGACCCCUUUUCACCCUCCGUUAUCCAGCAGAUACAACAGAGCCUUGCAACUUACAAUUAAGAGCAUCUGUAAAAUGGUGACAGCAUCCGUCAAUUACAAAUUCAAGACUGGGCAGAGCCCUGAAGAAGAUAUUGUGCGGAACAGCCCACCCUCCAAAUGAUGAGACUGGAUUAGGGGCUUGCUGCAAAGACUACUUCAGGAAGGGAGGAUACUUUGGGUGGAAGAGGUGAGGAGGAAGGAGACAGAGGAUGAACCUGUAAAGGAAAUCGGUUUAAAAAAUAAACCCAUGAAGAUAAAUCUGGAGCAGCCAAGAGCUGAUCCCAAGCCAUAUCCCUUCU